rnacentral:rRNA from 1 species
GACGUAGGGCGCGAGCGUUGUUCGGAAUUAUUGGGCGUAAAGCGCGUGUAGGCGGCUUUGUAAGUCGGGUGUGAAAGCCCUCAGCUCAACUGAGGAAGUGCGCCCGAAACUGCAGAGCUUGAGUACCGGAGAGGAUGGUGGAAUUCCCCAAGUAGAGGUGAAAUUCGUAGAUAUGGGGAGGAACACCGGUGGCGAAGGCGACCAUCUGGACGGAUACUGACGCUGAGACGCGAAAGCGUGGGUAGCAAACAGG